UGUUGGGUGUUUGUCUCGCCUCUGCGUGUAGACUCGCCUUAAAACAAUUGGCAGCCGGCGUAUUGAUUUCGGAGCGCAGUACAUCUCGCGCUUUGCACUCAUAAGGACGACGUCCAAAAGUACAUUUUUACACUCUGACCUCGGAUCAGGGAGGCACCUC
rnacentral:rRNA from 1 species